rnacentral:rRNA from 1 species
UACGUAGGGGGCAAGCGUUGUCCGGAAUUAUUGGGCGUAAAGCGCGCGCAGGCGGCUUAUUAAGUCUGAUGUGAAAGCCCACGGCUCAACCGUGGAGGGCCAUUGGAAACUGUUAGGCUUGAGUGCAGGAGAGGAGAGCGGAAUUCCCUGUGUAGCGGUGAAAUGCGUAGAUAUCGGGAGGAACACCCGUGGCGAAGGCGGCUCUCUGGCCUGUAACUGACGCUGAGGCGCGAAAGCGUGGGGAGCAAACAGG